rnacentral:rRNA from 1 species
AUUGAACGCUGGCGGCAUGCUUUACACAUGCAAGUCGAACGGCAGCGCGGGCUUCGGCCUGGCGGCGAGUGGCGAACGGGUGAGUAAUGCAUCGGAACGUGCCCAGUAGUGGGGGAUAGCCCGGCGAAAGCCGGAUUAAUACCGCAUACGACCUGAGGGUGAAAGCGGGGGACCGAAAGGCCUCGCGCUAUUGGAGCGGCCGAUGUCGGAUUAGCUAGUUGGUGGGGUAAAGGCUUACCAAGGCGACGAUCCGUAGCUGGUCUGAGAGGACGACCAGCCACACUGGGACUGAGACACGGCCCAGACUCCUACGGGAGGCAGCAGUGGGGAAUGUUGGACAAUGGGGGCAACCCUGAUCCAGCCAUGCCGCGUGAGGGAAGAAGGCCUUCGGGUUGUAAACCGCUUUUGUUCGGGAAGAAAUCCUCUGGGCUAAUACCCCGGGGGGAUGACGGUACCGGAAGAAUAAGCACCGGCUAACUACGUG